AGUUAUCUGAACCUUCGGGGAACGAUAACGGCGUCGAGCGGCGGACGGGUGAGUAAUGCCUAGGAAAUUGCCCUGAUGUGGGGGAUAACCAUUGGAAACGAUGGCUAAUACCGCAUAAUGCCUACGGGCCAAAGAGGGGGACCUUCGGGCCUCUCGCGUCAGGAUAUGCCUAGGUGGGAUUAGCUAGUUGGUGAGGUAAUGGCUCACCAAGGCGACGAUCCCUAGCUGGUCUGAGAGGAUGAUCAGCCACACUGGAACUGAGACACGGUCCAGACUCCUACGGGAGGCAGCAGUGGGGAAUAUUGCACAAUGGGCGCAAGCCUGAUGCAGCCAUGCCGCGUGUGUGAAGAAGGCCUUCGGGUUGUAAAGCACUUUCAGUCGUGAGGAAGGUAGUGUAGUUAAUAGCUGCAUUAUUUGACGUUAGCGACAGAAGAAGCACCGGCUAACUCCGUGCCAGCAGCCGCGGUAAUACGGAGGGUGCGAGCGUUAAUCGGAAUUACUGGGCGUAAAGCGCAUGCAGGUGGUUUGUUAAGUCAGAUGUGAAAGCCCGGGGCUCAACCUCGGAAUAGCAUUUGAAACUGGCAGACUAGAGUACUGUAGAGGGGGGUAGAAUUUCAGGUGUAGCGGUGAAAUGCGUAGAGAUCUGAAGGAAUACCGGUGGCGAAGGCGGCCCCCUGGACAGAUACUGACACUCAGAUGCGAAAGCGUGGGGAGCAAACAGGAUUAGAUACCCUGGUAGUCCACGCCGUAAACGAUGUCUACUUGGAGGUUGUGGCCUUGAGCCGUGGCUUUCGGAGCUAACGCGUUAAGUAGACCGCCUGGGGAGUACGGUCGCAAGAUUAAAACUCAAAUGAAUUGACGGGGGCCCGCACAAGCGGUGGAGCAUGUGGUUUAAUUCGAUGCAACGCGAAGAACCUUACCUACUCUUGACAUCCAGAGAACUUUCCAGAGAUGGAUUGGUGCCUUCGGGAACUCUGAGACAGGUGCUGCAUGGCUGUCGUCAGCUCGUGUUGUGAAAUGUUGGGUUAAGUCCCGCAACGAGCGCAACCCUUAUCCUUGUUUGCCAGCGAGUAAUGUCGGGAACUCCAGGGAGACUGCCGGUGAUAAACCGGAGGAAGGUGGGGACGACGUCAAGUCAUCAUGGCCCUUACGAGUAGGGCUACACACGUGCUACAAUGGCGCAUACAGAGGGCAGCAAGCUAGCGAUAGUGAGCGAAUCCCAAAAAGUGCGUCGUAGUCCGGAUUGGAGUCUGCAACUCGACUCCAUGAAGUCGGAAUCGCUAGUAAUCGUGGAUCAGAAUGCCACGGUGAAUACGUUCCCGGGCCUUGUACACACCGCCCGUCACACCAUGGGAGUGGGCUGCAAAAGAAGUAGGUAGUUUAACCUUCGGGAGGACGCU
rnacentral:rRNA from 1 species